UCCCUUGUGGCUCAGACGGUAAAGAAUCUGCCUGCAAUGCAGGAGACCCAGGUUCGAUCCCUGGGUUGAGAA
rnacentral:tRNA from 1 species